UACGUAGGGGGCAAGCGUUGUCCGGAAUCAUUGGGCGUAAAGCGCGCGUAGGCGGCCCUGUAAGUCCGUUGUGAAAGUCAAAGGCUCAACCUUUGAAAGCCGAUGGAUACUGCAGGGCUAGAGUCCGGAAGAGGCGAGUGGAAUUCCUGGUGUAGCGGUGAAAUGCGCAGAUAUCAGGAGGAACACCGGUGGCGAAGGCGGGUCUCUGGGCCGAUACUGACGCUGAGGAGCGAAAGCGUGGGGAGCAAACAGG
rnacentral:rRNA from 1 species